rnacentral:rRNA from 1 species
UGGGGAAUAUUGCACAAUGGGCGCAAGCCUGAUGCAGCCAUGCCGCGUGUAUGAAGAAGGCCUUCGGGUUGUAAAGUACUUUCAGCGGGGAGGAAGGGAGUAAAGUUAAUACCUUUGCUCAUUGACGUUACCCGCAGAAGAAGCACCGGCUAACUCCGUGCCAGCAGCCGCGGUAAUACGGAGGGUGCAAGCGUUAAUCGGAAUUACUGGGCGUAAAGCGCACGCAGGCGGUUGAUUGAGUCAGAUGUGAAAUCCCCGGGCUUAACCCGGGAAUUGCAUCUGAUACUGGUCAGCUAGAGUCUUGUAGAGGGGGGUAGAAUUCCAUGUGUAGCGGUGAAAUGCGUAGAUAUAUGGAGGAACACCAGUGGCGAAGGCGGCUCUCUGGUCUGUAACUGACGCUGAGGCUCGAAAGCGUGGGGAGCAAACAGG